rnacentral:rRNA from 1 species
GAAUAUUGGACAAUGGGCGAAAGCCUGAUCCAGCCAUGCCGCGUGUGUGAAGAAGGUCUUCGGAUUGUAAAGCACUUUAAGUUGGGAGGAAGGGCAGUAAGCGAAUACCUUGCUGUUUUGACGUUACCGACAGCAUAAGCCACGGCUAACUCUGUGCCCGCCGCCGCGGUAAUACAGAGGGUGGAAGCGUUAAUCGGAAUCACUGGGGCUAAAGCGCGCGUAGGGGGGUCGUUAAGUUGGAUGUGAAAUCCCCGGGCUCAACCUGGGAACUGCAUCCAAAACUGGCGAGCUAGAGUAGGGCAGAGGGUGGUGGAAUUUCCUGUGUAGCGGUGAAAUGCGUAGGUAUAGGAAGGAACACCAGUGGCGAAGGCGACCACCUGGGCUCAUACUGACACUGAGGUGCGAAAGCGUGGGGAGCAAACAG